CCUACGGGGGGCUGCAGUGGGGAAUAUUGCACAAUGGGCGCAAGCCUGAUGCAGCCAUGCCGCGUGUGUGAAGAAGGCCUUCGGGUUGUAAAGCACUUUCAGCGGGGAGGAAGGCGUUAAGGUUAAUAACCUUGGCGAUUGACGUUACCCGCAGCAGAAGCACCGGCUAACUCCGUGCCAGCAGCCGCGGUAAUACGGAGGGUGCAAGCGUUAAUCGGAAUUACUGGGCGUAAAGCGCACGCAGGCGGUCUGUCAAGUCGGAUGUGGAAUCCCCGGGCUCAACCUGGGAACUGCAUUCGAAACUGGCAGGCUAGAGUCUUGUAGAGGGGGGUAGAAUUCCAGGUGUAGCGGUGAAAUGCGUAGAGAUCUGGAGGAAUACCGGUGGCGAAGGCGGCCCCCUGGACAAAGACUGACGCUCAGGUGCGAAAGCGUGGGGAGCAAACAGGAUUAGAUACCCUAGUAGUC
rnacentral:rRNA from 1 species